GAGACAGACGCUCCCAGGUGUUCUGUAUUCAGGUCACCUCUGGGUGCAGGGUGGCUGCUGCUCCCCUGGGCUCUGUGUCCCAGGUCCUGCGAUGCCUGACAAAGGCUGCAGCCAGAUCACUGGGGCACAUGCGAGGAGGAAACAGAAUGGACAGGCCGCAACAUGCCAAGCCACUAAAAGGAUUGACGCUUUAUUCUUCAGAGGAGAAAUACCAUUGUGGGGUCUACGGACCUCUAUCUAAGGCUUGUUAAAACAAAACAGAGAUGCUUAUGCUCUGGAAAGACGCCCGGGAUCCACUGGGCAGAAUGGCAAAGGAAAGAUCCCCAGCACGGAGCUCAGACAGAUGUCCUCGGCGGAGCUGAGUGCGGGGGUACAGGGUGUGGGGGUGCAUCAGUUGUGCUCUGACAGGUGCACAGGGUCCCCUUUCCCUUUGGCACCUCGGCUGCCUGUGCUUCUGGACCAACUGCCUGUUGAGAAAGCCUCUCUGUGUCCAGAAGUGAACUAUGAAAGGCCCUGAGUGGAUGGACUAUAUGCAAGGCACAGGAAGGAGGCCAAGCCCUCAGGAGUGGCAUCCAUGUGCAUUUGGGGCAGAGUGACGACUGGAAAAGACUGACCACGGCCCAGGCUCCCUGCCUUUCAGCUGCCAGUCUGCUGGGAAGUCACUUCCAUGAGGGUGGGGAGAGGUGAUGGCUAUUGACACCCAAGUUACACCUACCAAUGACCCAGUGGCUUCGGGCCUCACAGGCAGUGAGUGGACAUCUAGGCACCUGGAAUGCACCUCUAGGGCUCUGUGCCCGGGCUCUGAACAAGGAGAGAAGCCGCCGGCCCUCCUCCUGACCACUUCACCUCCGGCAGGAGACUAAUGAUGCACCUAAGUUAAUUCACUCGACUCUGGGACUAUGAGGCAGUUCAUCCACACGCUCCAAACUCCAGCUUAUUGUAGGAGACCAGUGCCUCGAUCUCAUGAGGUCAUCUCGACGCCUCAGCUGUAACCCUUGGAGAACCUGUGGUCUCUGCUCCUCUGCCUGCUGACAUGAUCAUCCCAGGUGCAAAACAGGCAUCGGAAACAAGAGGUGAAUUCUCCCCAUAUGACAGGAAAUUGGUGCAAAUGACCAGAGCCCCCCACCUCUGAGAUACGGAGUCAGAGUCGGAGCUACAAUGACGGAUGACAUCAGCAUCAAUGUCAGCAUCCCCUCCAGCAUCACCACCGUCUACCAGCAACAGGUCUAGCACGAUGCCUCUUCAUGCAAAUGCAUACUUAUCGUUGGUUCCAACAAAGUCCCUGGCACAUGGAUGUGGAAUUCCUUGGGUCCUCCAGGCCCCAGAGCAUGUCUCUGUCCCAGCAUUGUCACAGUGAAGGACAGUCCUCCUGAGUACCUCUCUCUCCCUCCAACACAAGCCCCUCAAAAGCAUCGAUCUCAAGCACCCAGUUCGUUGCCUGGCAUACGGCAGCCACUCAGGAACUGAGCCGAACGCAUGAGGGAAAGAAGAGUCAUAACCUGUUUUAGGGAAAUGAAGUGCUGGUACAGUGGCUUCCUUGAAAUUGUCACGAAGCUACUGAGAAAGAAAUCAACCUGGCAGGGUUUUGCUUUCUCAGUAAGAUGAAUUGCAUUCUUCUUUGCAAAGUCUCAUAAUACAUUAUUUCAUGUGGGUUUAACUUGUGAUGAAGGAGAGGGCCAUAGAAGCCUAUGUAUUUUUGUAAAGAUUUGUCAGAAUCUCAAGCUAGCAGCUGACUAUACACAGCUCAGUUCCUACUGGUGCUCUAACUGACAGGACAAGAGAGGAACUUUCUGACAAUAAGUAAGGCCAGAGGAGGCGCAGAUGUGGGUUUGAUUCCUCAGUUACAUGAAUUGCAAAGAAACCCCGUGGUAUAUGAGUGGUUCCCAGGUCUCUGUAAGCUUUCUUGUCAUGAAAAGGAAAACUUGAUUAUGGCUAAUAAAAUGCUCCCACUCAUACUGAAUGGGAAAAUGUAUCUGGAUUGCCAAGUCUGAUUUCAAGAGAUUUUUUUUAAAAAGAAAUAAUGUUUGUAACAUUCAUAAACUGUCACGUCACCUGAAAUUGCUACUUGCUGGGAUGAGAAAAUAAAUUGCAGUAGAAAUUAGCACAAAAAUGCAAAGAUGAUGUGCAGAAAGUUUUCUUAAGAAGAAUCAACAUCCUUUCAGCAGCCUCCCUUUCUAAAACUUUUGCAAUAAAGAGUUUUUUUUCCCCUUUUUAAAUUUCUACCCAGCUCUGCCUAAAUUCUAGGUAACCCUACAUCAGUGGCCCCUGGAGUAGGGAGGGUCUCUACCACAGCACUGUGGCCUGUGUGGUCAACCGGUGAUUGAAGAUCUCAUCAAAGCCACUCCGAGCCUCAUGCAUCUGGCUCCUGACUGCUAUUGAAAGCCCUUGGUGGCAGGUGGCCUGGAGAGCUCUCCACAGUGGACGACUGGUCGUGGAUUGGUGUGGAUUCAUCCUGUGUGGUCUCUUUGUCUUUCCAGAUGGAGAGCGCUUCUUUGUUGGACCAAACUGCCCCCGGCAUGGCCCCCCAGUCCCCCGAGUGGCUUCUGCCUCCUGGCCUGGCCCCGGCUCUGCCUCUUCCUGGAACUUGUGGCAAUUAGUGGCUGAGCAGAGACCUUGUGAGAGCAAUCGAUAGACAGAGGAAGCCAGAUGGAAAGGAGGCUUUGUCGUUGCUGUUGGACAACAGUGCCGAGGAGAAGGGAAUGUUGCAGGUUUGUUUCCUGUUCCUUCUCCACGUGCUGUGUGCCAAGCACAGAAAGCCUCAGUGACCAGCUACUGAAUUAACCAGAAUAUGAAUGAGAAGAAUGACAUUGGAGAAACAGCAGUGUGGCAGUUGGGGCACGGGAAGCAGUCCUGACCCCACUCUUAACUAGCCAUGCGCAAGUCCUGGGCCCUGGCUUCCUCAACACUGAGGCAGCAAAAGCAGAUUCAACAGUCACCACAACCCCUGUCGUGGCAGCAUUCUCUUUUCCUCACAUGGACAGAUGCUCACGUCGGUGACGAAGGCACUGAGGUGCCAAAGAGCUUCCCAGAACAUCAAGGGAAGACUGACUGACAGCUGGUAGAAUAAGUGACAAAUAUCCCUUUUCUUGGAAGACAAUUUAUGCGUGCUGAAGUGGGAGAAAUGUAUUACUAUGAACGCUGUCUUACUCAACUCUGUUGCAUAGCUCAGAAUUCAGUACAGGUAGAUUUAAAAUAGUCUUACAUACAGAGCAGUUUAAAAAGUAUUGUGGAUUUCUGAGUGUCCAGGUUGGAUCCUUGACACUUAAGCACAUCCACUUCUGUUAUGGCUCCCUCUGGCUACAUAAGCUUUGGUGAUUUCUUAAUGACCAAGUGAGUAGCUUGUAAGCAAGGCUGAGAAACAGGAAGAAGUCCUCUUUGGCCAUCUGGUAUAUUGAUUCAAGUGAACACCACUCACUGGUCACCUGCGGACCAGAUGUGGCCUGCAGGUGUUUCAUUUCGCCAAAAGAAAUAUUUUUCAAAUUGUAAUGGGUUGUCAACAUUUAAAAAUCAUAUUUUUAUAUGGAAAUAUGGAUUUAGUACUUCUGCUGAAAUACUGGAAGAACUGGCAAUCUAACAAUUUCUGAAUGGCAAUGACUGACCAGAGCUGAGUCACAACGGUUCCUGUCAGAGACCGGGGGUUCUCUCCAGUGGCCUCCGUUAUAUGACACAAAGAGGGGUUCACUCAUUUCCAUUCCUUUCUGGCUGCAGUGGGCACCUGCGUUUGCCACCUUUCUCUUAAACAACAAGGAAUUGCUGAAGCAGAAAUGCACAGCCAGGGAAGCAGCUGAUUUUCUCUCAUCUUUUUCCUCCUCAUUAGCAUCAAUAAUUAAGUUUGGGACUGAUUCUUUUUAUGUCUUCAUAGCUAAAGUAAAAACUUUUGUUAGGAGCUAGUAGAUACUUCCCACCUCUUCUAAUUCAUUUUACUAAGCAUUAAGAUAACAUUCCUGGAUGGGCACGGUGGCUCCCACCUGUAAUCCCAGCACUCUGGGAGGCUGAGGCAGGU
rnacentral:lncRNA from 10 species